UCCACUGUGCUGCUCUCAGGGGCGAUGUGA
rnacentral:piRNA from 1 species